GACGUAGGGCGCGAGCGUUGUCCGGAUUUAUUGGGCGUAAAGGGCGCGUAGGCGGCUUAUCAAGUCAGGCGUGAAAUUCCCGGGCUCAACCUGGGGGCUGCGCUUGAUACUGAUUGGCUUGAAUGCGGGAGAGGAUAGUGGAAUUCCCAGUGUAGAGGUGAAAUUCGUAGAUAUUGGGAAGAACACCGGUGGCGAAGGCGGCUAUCUAGCCCGUAAUUGACGCUGAGGCGCGCAAGCGUGGGGAGCAAACAGG
rnacentral:rRNA from 1 species